rnacentral:rRNA from 1 species
UACGUAGGGGGCUAGCGUUGUCCGGAAUCAUUGGGCGUAAAGAGCGUGUAGGCGGUCCGGCAAGUCCGCUGUGAAAGUCGGGGGCUCAACCCUCGAAUGCCGGUGGAUACUGUCGGGCUAGAGUGCGGAAGAGGCGAGUGGAAUUCCUGGUGUAGCGGUGAAAUGCGCAGAUAUCGGGAGGAACACCAAUUGCGAAGGCAGCUCGCUGGGACGUUACUGACGCUGAGACGCGAAAGCGUGGGGAGCAAACAGG